UCGUACGCCUCCACCCAUGACGCGUUCUCUCCCUCUCGAUGACUGGAUCCGAUCUGGCCGCCACCGCCGCCUCUACCACCCAUAUCCCCGGCCAUCCUAGACCCUCCCACCGCUGGUCGGGCCUCUUAUUUUCCAACGCCUCUCCUCCGGUCCCCUCAUAUUGGCGACUCUGCUCGCGAUCGCUCCCGUGGACGCGCCCGGCAUGGCGAGCAGCCGAUGGCAGGGGGCAAGCGAACCAAGACCUGUGAGUCGGAGCUCCAGGCCUGGCCGAUGGGCAAGACCAAGGUAGCACUACGGUGGCGAUGGGCGACGACUGCGUCCAGCAGGAUAGGUGCAGCCGGAAGGAGCUCUUCGCGGCGCAGGAUCCAUUCAUCCAUGUGCAGGAGCCACCGUCCUCAUCCUCGGACGCCGUGCUUCUGUCGCCGUGAUCUCCAUGGCGUGGCUGGCCUAGAUGAUUUCCGGUGCCAGAGAGUUUGCAUCGUCGUACUGAUGAAAACUGACAUGAUGACACGAAUCUCCCUCCUGUCCAUCCCUCUUUAUUCGAUCAGUGUUUGCUGAUUUUCGCAUGCCUCAGAGAACCACAAGCUUUCAACAUGGUGUGCUUCGUUGUGGCAGCCAUCCCCUUCCUACCAAUUUGGUGAUUUUCGGGAAGUCUUGCAAUAAUAAUGACCAUCCACUUCAAAACAUUCCUUUGUUUUGUUCAAAUUAAAAUCGAGUUCAUCUUUUCAAACAACGAAUUGAUAUUCUGAUCGUGCCUCUUGUUAUUUCCAGGUUGGUGACGUCUUGAGAUUGUUCAGUCGGCGUUUUUUUGGGAUCCAUAUACAGAACAGAGUAAAUAUCAAGAAGUACAGACAAGAAAUUCAUGGCACUUCUUAGCUUUGAGGUUCGUAAGUACCUGCAGUCUCGCAUAUAUUCAUUGUAAUGCUCUUAUCAUUUUAGCCACCAGGGAACCGUCUCACUGACCAUAUAUCAUUUGGGUCGUUACUUAGAGCCAGGAAAGCAUCUCAAGAUAGAAGUGUGUAUGUGCAUUACAGGGUUGCUAUCUGGAGAUUUUAUUUUUUUGCAUAUGACGCUCAGUUUACAUGUUUAAAUUGGAGCAGAGGUGAGGUUAUAAUUGGUUUAUUCUUUUGCUUAUUUCUCUACUUCUACGUGCAGGUGAUGGGUUUCGUUAACAUUUUCAGACCAAAAUUGGUUGAUCUUUCAGACCAUUUAUACCUUUUAAUAAAGCAAAAUAUGCUCUGUGCUUUUGAAUAAUUCCAAAGGUAGCUGGAGCUCCUGGAAAAUUGUCGUUGUACGGUGAAACAUAAGAAAAUUUGGAAUCAAAGAAGUUGCUAGAACUAGCAAGGUUAUACUUUUUGAGAAAAUAUUAGAACCAUAUUCUGCUUUCGCUCCAGACUAGAUCUAAUGUGCCUUAUUAAUGUAAUGGAUAACUUUGCGGCGUGAGAAAAUCGGACGAACGGCUCCCUUUUGGAUGUUUCUGUAGAAUCCUAUCAUGAUCCUUCAGAAUAUGCAUUAAGAGUCUACACCGAGCACUACAAUGAAGACUACCAAUAACGAGUCUGAAGAACCUUCACAGAAAUCAACAACUCUGCCUAUGCCUUUUAGGAAUAGCCGGUCCCAAGCCCGGGUAAAGGAGGAGGGUUGUGAUAGGCUUGACGGGGCAACGUAAAAAUCAGCCUCUCCUAUGGAUAUGAAACCCAUUCAAUGGAAAUCAACACAUGUAAUAGAAUGCCACGGCAGGGCGGGGAGUUAUGGCAGUCUGAGCCACAGUGCUAUCCAAUGUAAUUAUGGACUUGCAAAAGAGUAUAAACUGUAGGAAAUAGUGAGGGAUUUGGAUCUGGUCUUGUAUCUGCAUAUGGCUCAUUACUUGGUUGACAAAGAGUUUUAUCAUCUAAAGAUGUUACUGUUUAGAAUAAAGUGCUUUAUUGGAAGCUCGUAAGCA